GUUCCAUCCAGCGCUUUCUAGCUCGAAUAUUGUUCCGGCUCUUCCAGCCUAGUUCAUAGAACUUAGCCUUCUCAAGCCGCAUCCGAGUAACAGCUCGUGAAUCGUUUCGGCUCAUCCAGCCAAGUUUAUCGAACUUAGCCUUCUCAAGCCGCGUCCGAGUAACAGCUCGUGAAUAGUUCCGGCUCCUCCAGCCAAGUUCCGAGAACUUUGCUCUAUCAAGCCGUGUUACACUAUCAGCAGCCUUGGUCAGCUUUGCCUAGAAUCGUUCCGGUUGUAGGGAAAUUGAUUCGAAACACUGAUUUUCUUGAAGCUGCUUUGCUAUCAAGACCGGUGUCUUUUUCCCCUCCUCCCCUACAAACAACUCGGAACAUUCUUCAAGAAAAUCAUCA